rnacentral:tRNA from 1 species
GGGAAUGUAGCUUAGUGGUAAAACACUUGCCUUGCAUGUACAAGGCCCUGGGUUCGAUCCCCAGCACCA